GAAAUGCGAUAAGUAAUGUGAAUUGCAGAAUUCAGUGAAUCAUCGAAUCUUUGAACGCACAUUGCGCCCCCUGGUAUUCCGGGGGGCAUCCUGUUCGAGCGUCAUUUCACCACUCAAGCCUCGCUUGGUAUUGGGCAACGCGGUCCGCCGCGUGCCUCAAAUCGACCGGCUGGGUCUUCUGUCCCCUAAGCGUUGUGGAAACUAUUCGCUAAAGGGUGCUCGGGAGGCUACGCCGUAAAACAACCCCAUUUCUAAGGUUGACCUCGGAUCAGGUAGGGAUACCCGCUGAACUUAAGC
rnacentral:misc_RNA from 1 species